UGUCCCGCCCCUCCCUCUUGGCAGCGCAGGGCUGGCCUUCAGGCCGCUCCUGCGACGGCCGGGCUCCCGUCUGUCCCUCCCUUGCGGCCGGUGUGGCCUUCGACAGACCCGUCAUUCGGAGAAGCCCCCAGGCCUGAGCGUCCGCUGUAGGGCCUUUAGACCUGUGGCCCCCGGUGGCCUCCAUCUCUGUGCUUCUCAUCAGCCACUGCCCCACCUCAUGCUCCGCCUCCACGCGCCCCUCUUGCAAAUGCUUUCCGGAGCUUUGGUUUUCGUGGCCUAAUUCCCCGUGUUUUCCUCCUGCCUCUCCGGCCGCUGCCUUUCAACCCCAGAAGUUCCUCUUCCUCUGGGCUAGGUCCUGAGCCAGUUCCUAAGGCGACCCGAACUUUCGCAUGGCUUCACCCCAGACCCAGGCACACGUAGCCCCAAACCUGUAUUUCCCCGGCAUCCCACUGUCUGUUCCACGGCCCCGCUUAACAUGAGCGUCUCACCUCCCUCCUCAAACAGCUCUUUCCGCAGUCUUCACUUUCUCGGAACAUGGCACUAAGUCUUCUAAGGUGCUUGGGCCAAAACCCUUGGAGUUAUCCUUGAUUCCUCUGUCGGCCUCAGCCACCCAGCAAUCUAGCAAGGCCUUUUUGCUCUACCAUCGGCUAUCUCCACUCCACCCACAAGCCUGACGUCCAUCUUGUCUCAUCCAGACUAUUUACUCUCCCUGAUCUUGCCUGCAUCUAUUCAUGCUGUAAUCUUUAAGAGGAAAUUAAAUCGCGAUCCCCUACCUCCGGCCUCAAACCCUCCAUGACUUCCCACUGCACUUAAAAUCUAUACUCCCUCCUCUCCCAGCUGGUCCUGUAUGGUCGGGCCCCUUUCUCUCUCUCCCUCCUUGUCUCUCACCACCUCGCCCUCAACCUCCAUGCUCCAGCCACAAGGCCUUUUAGUGGUUAUUUGAAUAAUUCACAUUGUCUUCUUGAAGCCAUCCCCUAGACUUGCCCCUGCAGUGUAGCUGCCCCCGUUCACAGACAAACUGAAGACACCUGUGGUCACAGUGGAGCCGGUCUGACAGAUGUUGAGUCAGGCAAAGCAGGACAACUUUUAGAGGCUAGAGGCCCAGCAGAGCACUCAGCUGAUGCCAGAAAAGGACCCAGGUGUCAGGAAUUCAUGAAAAAACUGAGGCAGAGAGAAAGAGACGUGCUUCUGGACACACAGCUGAGAGAUGGCAGAGAUGGGGUUCAAACCCAGGCAGCCUGGCUCCAGAGUCAAUGCUAAUGUUGCCUUCCGUGUGGCUGGACUGGAGCAUCACAGAAAAGCCUGUUAGGAGGGAGUUUUUCAGACUACACAUCAGGCUUCUGCUUCUGGACAAGGCUGAAGUGUGAAGAGGGAACCAACCUACUGGAGAUCUAGUUGCUGUGCUCCUGCCCUCAGAGGACUUGUGGGAAGAUCCCUGCUGGA